UCGGUGGUCAAGGGUUCGAUCGUCGCUUCUCUGGUGGGCGCAGAGGGGUUCGAACCCCCGACCGCUGGU
rnacentral:tRNA from 1 species